UCCUACCCUAGUCUCCGCUUGCUGCUGUGUCUUCUUCUCGCCUUCCUCGGCGCCUCCGCCUGGCGAGGAACUGCCACCCGACUGCUUUUCCCUUACUCUCCCGCGCUUCCUGAGUUGAGCUUUACUCUCUUCCUCAGCUCGUCCUAUUGCCUCUGCUUCUCAAGGUCUGUAUUUCUUCUACCUUACAUUGGGUCUUCGUCGUAUUCUUUUAACUAUGUCUCCUUUCUGUCUCCUACUCCUCUCCUUGCCUCCGCUCCGCGUCCCCUUUUGCUCGUGAGCCAUCCCCGACAUUAUCCCAUUCCCCCCCUAGACUCCCGGGUUAUUGAUAUCCAUCGCUGGCUAAUUCUAUUUGCUUUGUAUCUUUCCUCUUAGGUACUCACCCUGUGCAUGGUGGUUGUCAUCUCCCCUAGGUUCAAUACCUCAUGACUACCAUCAAGUGCCCACCGUCGUUCCCUAGCCGCUUCCAUUUACUUCUCAGGCAAUGUAAGGAGAUCGCCGUUGAUAAGCCGUGAGGCAGGUGGGAAUGACGUCAAGUCGUCAUGGCCNUUACGGGCUGGGUUANUCACGUGUUACAAUGGCGGUGACAAUGGGAUGUAAGGGGCGACCCUUCGNCAAAUCUCAAAAAGCCGUCUCAGUUCGGAUUGGGCUUUGCAACUCGAGCCCAUGAAGUGGGAAUCGCUAGUAAUCGUGGAUCAGCACGCCACGGUGAAUACGUUCCCGGGCCUUGUACACACCGCCCGUCACACCAUGGGAGUUGGUUUUACCUGAAGACGGUGCGCUAACCAGCAAUGGAGGCAGCCGGCCACGGUAGGGUCAGCGACUGGGGUGAAGUCGUAACAAGGUAA
rnacentral:rRNA from 1 species